UGUCUGAUUAGCUAGUUGGUGAGGUAAAGGCUUACCAAGGCUUCGAUCAGUAGCUGGUCUGAGAGGACGACCAGCCACACUGGGACUGAGACACGGCCCAGACUCCUACGGGAGGCAGCAGUGGGGAAUUUUGGACAAUGGGGGAAACCCUGAUCCAGCCAUGCCGCGUGAGUGAAGAAGGCCUUCGGGUUGUAAAGCUCUUUCAGCCGGAACGAAACGGUCACGGCCAAUACCCGUGAUCACUGACGGUACCGGAAGAAGAAGCACCGGCUAACUACGUGCCAGCAGCCGCGGUAAUACGUAGGGUGCGAGCGUUAAUCGGAAUUACUGGGCGUAAAGCGUGCGCAGGCGGUUUUGUAAGUCAGAUGUGAAAUCCCCGGGCUCAACCUGGGAACUGCGUUUGA
rnacentral:rRNA from 1 species